UCUUUCACUUCGGCGGAACGUUGUUUCCGGCGCAGGCGGUUUCAGGCCGGAGCGCGUUUCCAAGGGCACACCGUGGCUCCUAAGUUGUGGCUUCAGUAUUCGUUCUGUGUUGGGUUCUUAGCCGGACGCCGCGCGCGGGCCGAGAAUGAUACCUCACCCAAUCAGCUCGCGCGGGUUCGCGCACGGAGGGAGCGCGCUUGCUUGCCCAGCAGGAUUAUGCUUAGCCCCACGCAAAACAGGUCUGGGCUCAUUGUGUCAGAGCUGCGGAAGAAGGAAAGGCAGGCGCGCGGCCCCGACACAAUGGGCUCUAGCCGGCUGAGAGUGGACGGCCGACUCCCGCAGUAGUUCUCCAGUCCCUCUUUUUUUUCUCAUGUGGGGCGGCAGUAUUAGCUGCAGAAACCGGCGCAGGAGCAAGGGCAAAACCACCCCCACUUCCCUUGCUCGGUCCACGCUGGCACCGGGGUUUUAGGAGCUAGUCUGUUUCCUGGACUGCGCUUCUCAAUUUGCCUUUUUUUUCGUUUAUCUGCUCUUGACAUACCCUCCUGCUUUUACUCUUUGCUUCUCCCUUUUCGAAGGCCAGGUGCCACAAACCAAAGCUUUCCUCCUUCCCCCCAUCUCCGGCCAGAAUACUCGGAGGUUGGUACCCAGGGUGUAGGUUUGGCAUAUGGGACAAGUGGCACGAAUGCCCUCACCUGUCUCUUCCACGUUUCGUGGAGGUUGCCCAGGUUUUGAAAACGAGGAUCCUGGAGCAGUCAAACUCGGCAUUUAUAAAGUAGAUCCGCUCUCCCCACUUAAAGCUAAAGAAGCUCUCCAAAAAACUGGUAAACCUCAGAUUAUGUAUUGGUUUCCCAGGCAUUGAACCUGCCAGGAUAAAGGCAGGAAAUCAGGAUGCUUUGACACUUGUCAUUGAUGUCACUGAACCUACAGACGAGGUAGAGUGUGUAAAAUGGUCCUGUGUUAUCUACGUUCUUUAAUUGUUGCUUAGUACCCUAAAAAUUAAUAGUUAGUUUUGGAUAAAAUUAGGUGGACCACCAAAAGGAGAUGUCAUUAGGGCUAGAGACUCAUAUAGGGCAAUUAGGCUCUCCAGAUAAGCUGUAAUUUAUAUAGUACCUGAAAAUGAGGAAUCAGGACAGGAAUUUAUUUUGGGGGACAGGUUAUAAAAAGGCAUUUUUUAAUGAUUUUAAACAAGUCUACAAGCUUAGAUGCCCACUCUUGCAAGAAGGUAGAAUAAAAUUCUUUUCUGGCUUCAUCAGAUCUAUUUGGUUCUUGGUAGGACAUAUCUUUUACAAAUUGGGUGCUCUUCUGGAAUCCAGACAUCCUGAGAGGGCAUGGUCAUUGUUGAAGGAUGGGAAGAUGAGUCCCAUUGAUUUAAACAGACUCAUGGAUUGACUUAUAGGCAGCCCUACUCAGAAACUGUUCUGGAUUCUAAGACCACAUGGAUAAGACCGAUGAUGAAUCCAGGAAAUCAGAAAGGGAAAAAGAAAGUACCUCGGAAUCUAGGCAACUCUGUGCAUAGGCCAAGGAUAAAAAAGUGAACCAUCUAGUAUAGCCUUUGUGGUUGGGGAAUCUUACAAGGGUCUCAGAUGUCUCAAGUAAGAUGGAUAAUAAAAAUUUAAGAUAUAAUUUGCCUCAUAGAAGACAAAGAAAAGGCAUGAAAGCCUUGUGGCCAUUCCUUCAAAAUAGUUCCUAAAGGGGGAUGUGGGAAUACUAGGAAGGUACAUUCUGUACUACACAGGAAAAAUAAAUUUAAACCAUGUUUUUUCUUCUCUCAGUCUCUCUCCCUCUCCCAAUCAGCUAAAUUGCAGAUGAGAGGAUUUAGCUGUUUGUGCUUCAGUAGCUAAACUGAGUUUCCUUGAAGGUUGUUUUCCUGAAAUAAAAACUUAGUCUCCAGGUUACUAGCUUGAAAAGGGUGACAAUGCCCUCUUGCAUUAGUUUCUCUCCCUUUCUGAUCCAGACGAAGGCACUGGUUCUAGACCCUUGCAUAUAGAUCCACCACUUCUUUCUAAACAUGGACUCCUGUCCUUGACCCCAAUGGUCUUAGUAUCCUCCUCAUGGGACUCCAUACAUGUAGAAGGAUCUUAUUUGUAUCAGUUCUCCCUAGACCGGAGAUCUGAGUAGUUCCUCCCUCCCCUUAAAAAGGAGUCUGCUUUUCACCUGGCUUGAGAAAAUCUGGAUGGCUAACCAAACAGAAGCUGUCAUUUAAAAAAAAAAAAACUCUUUUCUUUUUCCUCAGACUACAGGAAGGAGUAAAUAGACAGGUGGAAUAGAGAAAGGGGAAGCCUACAAUUUUAAAAAUAGUCCCUUGGGAAGACCCAAGCCACUAUUACGCCCCUAAAUGAGAUCAGGAAAAAAGGAGUCUGUGUCUCUCAGUUUCCAGGCGCCUCCUCAUGUCUCAGAAAGUUUACUGCCACAUUAAAAAUUUGGGGAAUCUGGAAAAAUGGAGUGUCAAGGGGGUGAAGACCUAUACCUUUUGAAAUAAAACUGGCAUAUUUAACAUUUCUCCUGCUUCCCAAAAGAGAAAAAGGUUUCUCCUCAAAAUGUGCCAAAUUUGUGUGUUUAAAUCAUAAAUCUGAUUCUAAAUUAAAUAAGAUUAGAAUCACUUUUAAUUGAUGCAUGCUAAAAUUGUUUAUCUGAGCAUAAAAUUUUACUAAUAUAUGUAUAUUAAUUUUUAAUCCUGAAGUAUUACUAGAAAUUUAAAUUUGAAUUUGAUUUGACUUUAAGCCAAAAAUUAAGCCUUAAAGCAAAAGUUUUCUAUGGUAACUUACUCAACCUAAUGAAUUCACAUGUUUAUAUCUUCUUUAUUUAAGGUAUUAUGAUGCCUUUUAAAUUAUAUAUUGUGCAAAUUGUAAAAUUGUAUGAGCUGUUUUAAAAUUUUGUCAGCCCUGCUGAAUACAUGAAAGUUAUAUAAAGUCUCAUCCCAAAUUAUUUAGUUAUUGCUUGUAUUCUGAAUUUUAAGGUUUGUCUUGUUUUCUCCCUGACACAAAGAAAUUUACUUAGAGAGGAAGGAAAGGCUGCCCAAGUUGGAUCUACAAAAAUGAAAUUAAGUAAUUGAAGCUAUAAUUACAAAAUUAUACAUUUUAUAAAAAGUUUAAAAAAUGUUUUAAAAGCAAGUGACAAGAAAGCUUGAUUAUAAAAGCAAUUGAUAAGAUUAAAAGUUUUAUUGUUCUAAGAAGGAAAGAAAGUUUGUUUUUCCAUACCCCACCACCCUACUUACUCCCUGAUUGAAAAGAUAGGUGGAUGGGAGAGAGAAAAAAAAAAAAGAAAUUGUACUCAGUAUAGUGAAGACUGUUUGAGAUGUAAUGAUGGGGCAAUAAGAAAAAAACAGGACAUGCAUUUUUGAAGGGACUUUCUUCGAAGUCCUCUAAAGGGAUAUGUAUGUGGAAGGGAAAUCAACAAAGUUUAAGUGUGUUGGAAUGAGAGGAGCAUGAGCAAAAAGGGAUUUGAAAAUUUAGAAACUUUGGGGAAAACAAGCAAUUUGCUACCACUUUAAAAACUGGUGAGAAGUAGCCUAUAUUUGUGUUUUCAGGAGUCAGUCUUGUGGGGCUGUGCCAGUGAAAAUUUCAAGGUAAAAAGGUCUGCUUCUUGAAGUAAAAACUGGCUGGCAAAGGGCUAAAAGAUUUAUGUUAAUUGGGAAAAAAUCAAAAGGUAAAUGAGUUUGAAUGGAACAUCUAGUUAGAAAUUUGUAGAAAAUAUGUUUAAAACCUGUUAUGUUAUUAUCUAUCUGUAUUUAAUGUUUUGUAACUCAUUUAGGGAAUGAAACAACUCUACUCUUUGCUUGUAAGUUAAGAAGUUAUAGCUAAAACAAAUUGGCUAUCACGAAAGUUGUAAGAUUGUUAAUUACUAUGUAUAGAAAUGUGGGGAUGAGAUGAAAACUUUAUGCAGAUUGGUUUUACAUUUUAAAGCUGUUCACCUAGAGAUCUGGGAAUAUGCAGUUCCAUUUCUCUCUCCACAGAAUGUGUCAAAGAAUAAAGCCUACAAGGAUAGUUGGGGUGAACAGAUAAGAGCAGCAAGUUCAGUCCCUUUCUCUAGGGUUUGUAAUAGAUUUCUUAAAGUUAUUUUGUGAACAAAGUCCAUCAGUCCUAGAAAAAAAAUUUAUUUGGGUUAUGUAAUUCCAAAUAAGAAAUGGGUUUAAUAGGAAUCUAUAAGCUUUUUAUAUAAAGAUGAUUGUUAAUGAUUGGUUUCUAACAACAAGAUAGGUUUAAACUCAAGAAGGAGAAGGAAGGAAAACAAUUGAAAGAGGUUAAAUGAAAUAUCUUAUGUAUGUAAAGCCUGGUAAACUUUAUUAUUGUGAUAAGACUAAUUUAAUUAUAUUUUAUUAUAUUCAAUUCUACAUGUUAAGUCUUUGGUUGUUGUUAUUGAUCAUCUUAAAAUAAGAAUGUUGUACUUAAAACUAUCUCAGAUAUCAAAUUGUGAAUUUUCUGUUUAAAUCUCUAUUACCAAUACAGUACUUAUUAUUUAGGAUCCUUGAGAGCUGAACCUACCUAAAGGUAUGAUUAUUUGCUAUUUGUGAAACUUGCUAUUUGAGAUAAAAAUCUCUCCAGAUUAUAACUGAGUUUGGAUUCAGGUGUGAAGAAUGGACCAUUAAGUCAGCAAAUCCACAGUCUCAGAGAAAUGCCACUAUUAAAAAUUUAAAACAAAGAAAUAAACACAAAUCUUACUCAAAUUACAAAAACUGCUAAAAUGUACCAAAUAUAAGUUAAUUACUUUAGGAAAUAAGAAAAAUUGAAGAGAUGGAAAAAAUAGAAUAAAAUAAGUUAUCUUAUUUCAAAAACAAUUGACUUGGAAAACACAUCAAGGAAAGAUAAUUUGUAAAUCAAUGGAGUACCUGAAAACUAUGACCAAAAAUAUCAUGUAUUUCAAGAAAUCAUAAAAAAAAUGAUCAAAAAGAAUAAGGCAAAAAUGAAAAUAGAAUCUACUGAUCACUUGCAAGAUGAAACUCCCAAAUGAAAACUCCCAGGAAUAUCACUGCUCAAAUCCAGUGCUUUCAGGCCAAAGAAAAAAGUAUUGAAAGCAGCCAGAAAGAAUUCAAGAACCACAUUCAGGAUUCAAGAACCACAUCAGGAUUUAGCAGCUACCAUUUUACAGGAAUGGAGAACAUGAAAUGCAACAUUGCAAAAGGUAAAAGAUAUAGAUUGUAAUGACCGCGUAUUUAAAAUCAGCCGGAGUCAGGAAUUCAGGUUAAGGGGAAAAUCUUCAAUAUUUAUUGAAGUGAAGAGGUGAAUAAAGAUUGCGAUAGCAAAUAUGGGCAGUUGCGACAGGAAGCCAGCUAACAGAGAGAGACGCGAGCUGAGCCAACCGUGGUAAAAGCAAUCCCAAAAAAUCUCUCCUCCCCUUCCUUUUCCACUCCCCUGCCUCCACCCACCAAAAUCGUCAUUUCCUAUACAACACAUCAGGACUUGCACAAAGAGUGGGUGGGGGCCAUUCUUUCUCCAAGCUUAUAUAUUAAUAGAGUAUGGUCCAAUUACUAUUUUGCCUCAUAUGCUUGGGACCUCAGUGCAUCAACUCAAGCCUCAGCCCAUUACAAUAGAUCUACAAACCAAGAAUAAUUUACCAAGUGAAUAUAAGGCCACAAAGAAAAAAGAAAAUGCAUCUUCAAAGAAAUAGAAGCCUUCCAACAAUUCCAAAGAAAAAACCAGAGCAGAAAAGGAACUUUGAAAUACUAAUAUAAGAAUCAAGAGAAACAUAAAAAGAGCAUUGGAACACCUGUGACAAUCUACAGAGGAAAAGGCCCCACUGAACACAAGCAUGACACCAACAAUCUGCCACAAAUUAAAAAAAAAAAAAAAAAAAGCAAUCAAAGGAGAAAAGAACCCACUUGUAGAAUGUUACUAUGGGGAUAAGGACAAGAGAAAGCCAAUGAAGUUAUAAUAGACCAAGAAAUAAUAAAACAAAAUACAAGAAAGUGUGUGACAUUUCAUAAGAAAAACAAGUGAUCUGGAGAACAGAACAAGAAGAAAAAACAAAAUAACUGGACUACCUGAAAGCUACGAUUUUAAAAGAUGGCUACCUUAAAAGAUGGCAGAUUUUGGAAUGUCAUAUAUAUAGAAGAGCAAAAAAAACUGGGGUUGUAGUAAAAAAGGUCAUAACCAGCAAAAUAAACAUAAUUCUGAAUGAAAAAAAAAAAGGAUAUUCAAUGAACUGCCAGACUUUCUGGAUUUUGUUGCAAAAAUAUUUGAACUUAACAGAAAAUGUGACAUAUAAGAUCCAAAAGAAAUAUAAAGUAAAUGUCAAAGACUCAAUAAGGACAAACUGUUUAUGUUUUAUACAUGGAAAUAUAAGUCAUAUGUCUAAGAUUGUCAUUGAUAAUUGGGGAGUCUGAAACUAAGAUUGGAGUAGAGCUGAAAAUGAUGAUUCCAAAAAGCAAAACCUGAAUGAAAAGAUAAACAAAAUAGUUAUAUUAUACAAAUGAAGUACAAGACUAAGGGCUGAUAGAGGAAUUAGGGGGAAGAGGGCUGGAAUCCUGCUCACAUUGAGAACGAACAAUUUAAAGAAGGAACAAUACAUAUUUACCUAGGAAGGUAUAAAAAGUCUUCUAAAUGUAUAAAGAAAUAAAAGGGUGAGAGAAUAGGAUUGGGGGGAAUAAAAAGAUGUGUAGAUAAAUGGGAAAGGGAUAAAAAGUGAUGGAGAGAGGAUAAGGGAGGGAGAGGUAAGGGUAAGUUAAAUAAUAGCAAAGCAAGAUAGGUAGAAGUAAAGCAUAGGAGUCAGCAUGACUAGGAAAUAAGAGGCACAUACAAACAAUAAUAAUUAUCAAGAGUAAGAUUUAUUAGAGAAAAAAACAAGGGUAGUUAAAUCAUUAAUCUCAGACAAAAUUAAAUUUAAAAUAGAUUUAAUCAAAAAAGGAAAAAUAGAGAAACUACAUUGUAUGUCAGGCAUAUUAAUAUUGGUUUAGACUAUUUAAAAUAACUAGAUAGUAUAAGGUUGGAAUAUUUCUGUGGUGUAAGAAAUUAUGAGUUUGAUAGAUUUAGAAAAAUAUAAAAAGACUUGGAUUUAUGAAGGACAAAGUUAUGCACCUUCAGAAAAACAGAGGACAGAAAAACAAGCAUACAGCCUUACAUAGAUGUAUAUGAAUGUAUAUGUGUAUACAUGUAUAUGAUUAGCGAUGUCUACAUAUAUAUAUGUACACAUACAUAUAUAUACACAUACAUACACACAUAUCUAUGCUUAAAUGGAGCCUUCAUGGGAGAAAUCAGGGGAAAGAAAGGGAGAAAAAAAGAAUAAAGUAAAAAGUGCACAGCAGAGAUUGGAAUGGGCUUCAGUGCUAUGUGCUUUGCCUCAUGACUGGGAAAGCCUCCUCUGCCUGACUUCUCACCACUAUAUAGGAUAAAAAAAUAAAACCUAUAGGGAAACAAAGAAAGCUUGAUGGCUCUGAAUACAAUGCGUAGUAUUUAUUUUAAAGGCUUUUUUGAAAUGGAAAUUAGUCUCAUAUUUUGAGACUGUUCUGCUGUGCACAUAGCAAUGUUUUUUCUUUUUCCAUUUUGUAUUUGUUUUUAAUAAAUAAACAAAAAAACCCUAAUUUACUGGGAUUGUGAAUAAAUCUUUAAUUUAUUCACACACCUUUUCCAACAGCAGUGUAAGUGCUGAUUUUCAUCAUAAUUCUAAUAAUACCUACUCCUUGAGUCCGAGAGGA